rnacentral:rRNA from 1 species
UACAGAGGGUGCGAGCGUUAAUCGGAAUUACUGGGCGUAAAGAGUGCGCAGGUUGUGUUAUAAGUAUGAUGUGAAAUGCCACGGCUUAACCGUGGAAUUGCAUCAUAUACUGUAAUGCUAGAGUCUUGUAGAGGAUAGCGGAAUUCCCGGUGUAGCGGUGAAAUGCGUAGAUAUCGGGAGGAACAUCAGUUGCGAAGGCGGCUAUCUGGACAUAGACUGACACUGAGGCACGAAAAGCGUGGGUAGCGAACAGG